CCCCUCUCCAGCUGCCCAGCUGUGGCCCAUUCCUCUAGCUCUCCUUCUGCCUUCUAAGCCUCUGGCAGCUGAGAGUAUUUGAGGAUUUUUUAUACCCCAGCCACCCUGCCACACCCAGUUGCCUUAAUUUAGGGGAUUUGGUAGAGAAGCUGCUCCCUGCCAACAGCCUAGAGAGCAGCUCUAUCAGACUGAUUUACCAUUCCUGUCAUCAGCUUGGCCAAACCCUGGCUAAGUAGCAGGGUCUGCCUCAGCCUCAGCUAUUACCUUAGCCACUGUGCUCCUGGUCCACCCUGGUGUUGCUAUAUCUUCCAGCUGCUGAAGCCUCAUCACACCUGGUUUGGCUUCUCCUACCUGUGGCCCAAAGCCUCUGUUGUUUUUUUUUUCUUAGCCAUAGCUAGUUCCAGCUUGGCCCCCAUGCUCAUGUUGCUGCUGCUUCUGCUGCCCUGAUUUCCAUUCCAGCUGGAACUUUAUAUUGGUCAGUGAUGAGAAGAGGAAGAGCUUUGCUUCUACACUUCAGCCAUCUUAACCCAGAAGUCUUCGAAACUUGGUAUGGAUUGGUCUGAGGUGAGAAAUAAGAACCUUCUUUCAGGAGGGAUAUAUGGUUCAAAGAACAAGAGAAUACAAAAAGAACCAUUUCACUGUGCCAAAGAAGCACAAAGCUAAACUGCAUAGUGCCAAUCAAGCACAAGGUCAAAGACACCAACCAAUCCAAAUGAGAUUGAUGAAAAUUUUGAGCCAAGACAAGAGGAUUUGAACUUGUUUGGGGUUCAAGGUUGCAACUAUUAAAGGCAGGUCUUGGCUCCUACCUCAUUCCAACAAUGUAGUCCCCUUUCUGUCUUUCGCUGUGUGGCAAACUUUCUGUAUUCCUGGCUACUGAUUGGGUAAAUGCAUAAUUGUUUAAAUCAUUUUAAUUGGGCCCUGAUUCAAGGAUCUGUUAUAGAUUUGUUUUUCCUUUCUUAGAUUUUUUUAGACAUAAGACAUUUACAUUUUGUAUUUCAUACACAAGUUAUUU
rnacentral:lncRNA from 1 species